rnacentral:rRNA from 1 species
UUAAAUUGAAGAGUUUGAUCAUGGCUCAGAUUGAACGCUGGCGGCAGGCCUAACACAUGCAAGUCGAACGGUAACAGGAAGCAGCUUGCUGCUUUGCUGACGAGUGGCGGACGGGUGAGUAAUGUCUGGGAAACUGCCUGAUGGAGGGGGAUAACUACUGGAAACGGUGGCUAAUACCGCAUAACGUCGCAAGACCAAAGAGGGGGACCUUCGGGCCUCUUGCCAUCAGAUGUGCCCAGAUGGGAUUAGCUUGUUGGUGAGGUAACGGCUCACCAAGGCGACGAUCCCUAGCUGGUCUGAGAGGAUGACCAGCCACACUGGAACUGAGACACGGUCCAGACUCCUACGGGAGGCAGCAGUGGGGAAUAUUGCACAAUGGGCGCAAGCCUGAUGCAGCCAUGCCGCGUGUAUGAAGAAGGCCUUCGGGUUGUAAAGUACUUUCAGCGGGGAGGAAGGUGUUGCGGUUAAUAACCGCAGCAAUUGACGUUACCCGCAGAAGAAGCACCGGCUAACUCCGUGCCAGCAGCCGCGGUAAUACGGAGGGUGCAAGCGUUAAUCGGAAUUACUGGGCGUAAAGCGCACGCAGGCGGUCUGUCAAGUCGGAUGUGAAAUCCCCGGGCUCAACCUGGGAACUGCAUUCGAAACUGGCAGGCUUGAGUCUUGUAGAGGGGGGUAGAAUUCCAGGUGUAGCGGUGAAAUGCGUAGAGAUCUGGAGGAAUACCGGUGGCGAAGGCGGCCCCCUGGACAAAGACUGACGCUCAGGUGCGAAAGCGUGGGGAGCAAACAGGAUUAGAUACCCUGGUAGUCCACGCCGUAAACGAUGUCUACUUGGAGGUUGUGCCCUUGAGGCGUGGCUUCCGGAGCUAACGCGUUAAGUAGACCGCCUGGGGAGUACGGCCGCAAGGUUAAAACUCAAAUGAAUUGACGGGGGCCCGCACAAGCGGUGGAGCAUGUGGUUUAAUUCGAUGCAACGCGAAGAACCUUACCUGGUCUUGACAUCCACGGAAGAAUUCAGAGAUGGAUUUGUGCCUUCGGGAACCGUGAGACAGGUGCUGCAUGGCUGUCGUCAGCUCGUGUUGUGAAAUGUUGGGUUAAGUCCCGCAACGAGCGCAACCCUUAUCCUUUGUUGCCAGCGGUUAGGCCGGGAACUCAAAGGAGACUGCCAGUGAUAAACUGGAGGAAGGUGGGGAUGACGUCAAGUCAUCAUGGCCCUUACGACCAGGGCUACACACGUGCUACAAUGGCGCAUACAAAGAGAAGCGACCUCGCGAGAGCAAGCGGACCUCAUAAAGUGCGUCGUAGUCCGGAUUGGAGUCUGCAACUCGACUCCAUGAAGUCGGAAUCGCUAGUAAUCGUGGAUCAGAAUGCCACGGUGAAUACGUUCCCGGGCCUUGUACACACCGCCCGUCACACCAUGGGAGUGGGUUGCAAAAGAAGUAGGUAGCUUAACCUUCGGGAGGGCGCUUACCACUUUGUGAUUCAUGACUGGGGUGAAGUCGUAACAAGGUAACCGUAGGGGAACCUGCGGUUGGAUCACCUCCUUACCUGAAAGAAGC